AAAUUUGAAAUCUGGCUCACGCCCGAAUUGUAAUUUGUAGAGGAUGCUUUUGGUGCGGUGCCUUCUGAGUUCCCUGGAACGGGACGCCGAAGAGGGUGAGAGCCCCGUAUAGUCGGACACCAAACCUUUGUAAAGCUCCUUCGACGAGUCGAGUAGUUUGGGAAUGCUGCUCAAAAUGGGAGGUAAAUGCCUUCUAAAGCUAAAUACCGGCCAGAGACCGAUAGCGCACAAGUAGAGUGAUCGAAAGAUGAAAAGCACUUUGAAAAGAGGGUUAAAUAGUACGUGAAAUUGUUGAAAGGGAAGCGCUCAUGACCAGACUUGCGCCCUGUGAAUCACCCAGCGUUCUCGCUGGUGCACUUCGCUAGGUUCAGGCCAGCAUCGAUUCUCUUAGGGGGAUAAAAGUGACAGGAACGUAGCUCCUCCGGGAGUGUUAUAGCCUGCUGCAGAAUACCUCUGAGGGGAUCGAGGACCGCGCUUCGGCAAGGAUGCUGGCGUAAUGGUCAUCAGCGACCCGUCUUGAAACACGGACCAAGGAGUCAAGCAUUAGGGCGAGUGUUUGGGUGUUAAACCCGCACGCGAAAUGAAAGUGAAUGUAGGUGAGAGCUUCGGCGCAUCAUCGACCGAUCCUGAUGUAUUCGGAUGGAUUUGAGUAAGAGCCUUACCGCUUGGACCCGAAAGAUGGUGAACUAUGCUUGGAUAGGGUGAAGCCAGAGGAAACUCUGGUGGAGGCUCGCAGCGGUUCUGACGUGCAAAUCGAUCGUCAAAUCUGAGCAUGGGGGCGAAAGACUAAUCGAACCAUCUAGUAGCUGGUUACCGCCGAAGUUUCCCUCAGGAUAGCAGUGUUGUCUUCAGUUUUAUGAGGUAAAGCGAAUGAUUAGGGACUCGGGGGCGCUAUAUUGCCUUCAUCCAUUCUCAAACUUUAAAUAUGUAAGAAGCCCUUGUUACUUAAUUGAACGUGGGCAUUCGAAUGUACCAACACUAGUGGGCCAUUUUUGGUAAGCAGAACUGGCGAUGCGGGAUGAACCGAACGCGGGGUUAAGGUGCCAGAGUGGACGCUCAUCAGACACCACAAAAGGCGUUAGUACAUCUUGACAGCAAGACGGUGGCCAUGGAAGUCGGAAUCCGCUAAGGACUGUGUAACAACUCACCUGCCGAAUGUACUAGCCCUGAAAAUGGAUGGCGCUCAAGCGUCCCACCCAUACCCCGCCCUUAGGGUAGAAACGAU
rnacentral:rRNA from 1 species